rnacentral:tRNA from 1 species
GCGGACAUAGCUCAGUUGGGAGAGCGUCAGACUGAAGAGGAUUCACAUCCGGGCAACUUCAUUCAAUCAAUCUGAAGGUCGUGUGUUCAAUCCACACUGGCCGCA